GAAUCUUAGACAAUGGGGGAAACCCUGAUCUAGCCAUGCCGCGUGAUCGAUGAAGGCCUUAGGGUUGUAAAGAUCUUUCAGAGGGGAGGAUAAUGACGGUACAAGCAGAAGAAGCCCCGGCGAACUCCGUGCCAGCAGCCGCGGUACUACGUAGGGGGCUAGCGUUCUUCGGAUUUACUGGGCGUAAAGCGCACGUAGGCGGAUCAGAAAGUUAGGGGUGAAAUCCCGGGGCUCAGCCUCGGAAGUGCCUCUAAAACUCCUGGUCUUGAGGUCGAGAGAGGUGAGUGGAAUUCCGAGUGUAGAGGUGAAAUUCGUAGAUAUUCGGAGGAACACCAGUGGCGAAGGCGGCUCACUGGCUCGAUACUGACGCUGAGGUGCGAAAGCGUGGGGAGCAAACA
rnacentral:rRNA from 1 species